rnacentral:tRNA from 1 species
GUUUUAAUAGUUUAACUUAAAACUUUGGUUUUGUAAAUCAAAAAUGAUCACCAUCUUAAAACU